rnacentral:siRNA from 1 species
GACAUUAUUCUUUGUUGCUGC